GUGCACGUUUGAACGAGUGUGUGUGUGAGUUAGUGUACCUGCAGGCCUGCUGCUGGUCUUCCUCUUCAGCCAUCUGUCCAACGUCUCGGUGCUCACGCUCUCCAGCACAAAAUCAUCCAGCAUCUGCGGGUGCAGAGAGAGAUGCCACGAUACCACAAUGCCCCUACCACUACCUUCACCGCUCCCUAGAGCGCCAUCGAUGAUAGGGGUCAUGCUCGUCACCGCACAUCUGGACUGAUGUUGAACUGAUGGGAAGCUGCUAAUGAGAACCGCAGAACUCAGAUCCUGUCUUCUCCUGUGUGACGUUUUUCGAUGAGCUCCAACAUGAGGACAACUUGGAAGAUAAUCUAUCCGUCUGUGGCCUUUUCCCAUCCCCUUAGAUAGCAAGACUUUGACCAGCUGACAGAGGGGUCAAUGGAUGGCGGAUGCCUUGAGCAGAAUGUCAUCUGUUUUGUCGCUAAUAUCAUGAACUGUGCCCUGGCACUGAUCCAAUGCUCCACAGAUUUUGACAUAAAAGGUUUCAAACUACA